AGUGAACGCUGGCGGCAGGCCUAACACAUGCAAGUCGAACGGCAGCACAAGAGAGCUUGCUCUCUGGGUGGCGAGUGGUGGACGGGUGAGGAAUGCAUCGGAAUCUGCCCAUUUGUGGGGGAUAACCUCGGGAAACCGGGACUAAUACCGCAUACGACCUACGGGUGAAAGCAGGGGAUCUUCGGACCUUGCGCAGAUGGAUGAGCCGAUGCCGGAUUAGCUAGUUGGAGGGGUAAAGGCCCACCAAGGCGACGAUCCGUAGCUGGUCUGAGAGGAUGAUCAGCCACACUGGGACUGAGACACGGCCCAGACUCCUACGGGAGGCAGCAGUGGGGAAUAUUGGACAAUGGGCGCAAGCCUGAUCCAGCCAUGCCGCGUGUGUGAAGAAGGCCUUCGGGUUGUAAAGCACUUUUGUUGGGAAAGAAAAGCAGCCGGUUAAUACCCGGUUGUCAUGACGGUACCCAAAGAAUAAGCACCGGCUAACUUCGUG
rnacentral:rRNA from 1 species